rnacentral:rRNA from 1 species
UACGUAGGUGGCAAGCGUUGUCCGGAAUUAUUGGCGUAAAGCGCGCGCAGGCGGUCCUUUAAGUCUGAUGUGAAAGCCCACGGCUCAACCGUGGAGGGUCAUUGGAAACUGGGGAACUUGAGUACAGAAGAGGAAAGCGGAAUUCCACGUGUAGCGGUGAAAUGCGUAGAGAUGUGGAGGAACACCAGUGGCGAAGGCGGCUUCUGGUCUGUAACUGACGCUGAGGCGCGAAAGCGUGGGGAGCAAACAGG